rnacentral:rRNA from 1 species
AGAGUUUGAUCCCGGCUCAGGACGAACGCUGGCGGCGCGCCUAACACAUGCAAGUCGAACGAGAGAGAGGGAGCUUGCUUCCUCAAUCGAGUGGCGAACGGGUGAGUAACGCGUGAGGAACCUGCCUCAAAGAGGGGGACAACAGUUGGAAACGACUGCUAAUACCGCAUAAGCCCACGGCUCGGCAUCGAGCAGAGGGAAAAGGAGCAAUCCGCUUUGAGAUGGCCUCGCGUCCGAUUAGCUAGUUGGUGAGGUAAUGGCCCACCAAGGCGACGAUCGGUAGCCGGACUGAGAGGUUGAACGGCCACAUUGGGACUGAGACACGGCCCAGACUCCUACGGGAGGCAGCAGUGGGGAACAUUGCACAUGGGGGAAACCCUGAUGCAGCGACGCCGCGUGGAGGAAGAAGGUCUUCGGAUUGUAAACUCCUGUUGUUGAGGAAGAUAAUGACGGUACUCAACAAGGAAGUGACGGCUAACUACGUGCCAGCAGCCGCGGUAAAACGUAGGUCACAAGCGUUGUCCGGAAUUACUGGGUGUAAAGGGAGCGCAGGCGGGCGAUCAAGUUGGAAGUGAAAUCCAUGGGCUCAACCCAUGAACUGCUUUCAAAACUGAUUGUCUUGAGUAGUGCAGAGGUAGGCGGAAUUCCCGGUGUAGCGGUGGAAUGCGUAGAUAUCGGGAGGAACACCAGUGGCGAAGGCGGCCUACUGGGCACCAACUGACGCUGAGGCUCGAAAGUGUGGGUAGCAAACAGGAUUAGAUACCCUGGUAGUCCACACCGUAAACGAUGAUUACUAGGUGUUGGAGGAUUGACCCCUUCAGUGCCGCAGUUAACACAAUAAGUAAUCCACCUGGGGAGUACGACCGCAAGGUUGAAGCUCAAAGGAAUUGACGGGGGCCCGCACAAGCAGUGGAGUAUGUGGUUUAAUUCGACGCAACGCGAAGAACCUUACCAAGUCUUGACAUCCUGCGACGAUGCUAGAAAUAGUAUUUUCCUUCGGGACGCAGAGACAGGUGGUGCAUGGUUGUCGUCAGCUCGUGUCGUGAGAUGUUGGGUUAAGUCCCGCAACGAGCGCAACCCUUAUGGUCAGUUACUACGCAAGAGGACUCUGGCCAGACUGCCGUUGACAAAACGGAGGAAGGUGGGGAUGACGUCAAAUCAUCAUGCCCUUUAUGACUUGGGCUACACACGUACUACAAUGGCGCUAAACAAAGAGAAGCAAGACCGCGAGGUGGAGCAAAACUCAGAAACAACGUCCCAGUUCGGACUGCAGGCUGCAACUCGCCUGCACGAAGUCGGAAUUGCUAGUAAUCGUGGAUCAGCAUGCCACGGUGAAUACG